GCUUGUCUCAAAGAUUAAGCCAUGCAUGUCUUAGUGUAAAUAACUCUUAUGAAACUGCGAAUGGCUCAUUAAAUCAGUUAUCAAAUACGUGAUGGUCGCCUACUACAUGGAUAACCGUAGUAAUUCUAGAGCUAAUACAUGCGUAAAGUCCUGACUGCGCGAGCGGAAAGGAUGUGUUUAUUAGAUACAACCAACCCUUCGGGUUUUUGGUGAAUCAUAAUAACCGAACGAACCGUAUGCGCAAGCGACGGUGGUUCAUUCAAGUUUCUGCCCUAUCAGCUUUCGAUGGUAGGGUAUUGGCCUACCAUGGCGUUAACGGGUAACGGAGAAUUAGGGUUCGAUUCCGGAGAGGGAGCCUGAGAGAUGGCUACCACAUCCAAGGAAGGCAGCAGG
rnacentral:rRNA from 1 species